rnacentral:hammerhead_ribozyme from 1 species
AUUCAGCUGACGAGUCCUAAGUAGGACGAAACGCGCGUCCUGGAU